UACGUAGGGACCGAGCGUUGUCCGGAAUCAUUGGGCGUAAAGAGCGUGUAGGCGGCUUGCUAAGUCUUGCGUGAAAUCUCAAGGCUCAACCUUGAGCUUGCAGUGGGUACGGGCAGACUAGAGUGUGGUAGGGGAGACUGGAAUUCCUGGUGUAGCGGUGAAAUGCGCAGAUAUCAGGAGGAACACCGAUGGCGAAGGCAGGUCUCUGGGCCACUACUGACGCUGAGAAGCGAAAGCAUGGGGAGCGAACAGG
rnacentral:rRNA from 1 species